GGGGCCGUAGCUCAGCUGGGAUGAGCGUUCGCCUGACACGCGAGAGGCCAUGGGUUCGAUCCCCGUCGGUCCCA
rnacentral:tRNA from 1 species